CUGGCCCAUCAUUAAUACGUCGAUGGUGAGCGCACUGGUGUACAGCGAGGGGGCUCCACUUCCGAGACCCCUGGAGAGGCCCGUCCUGGUGGAGUUCACCCUGCUGGAGAUGGAGAAGCGAACCAAGCCUGUCUGUGUGUUCUGGAACCAUUCCCUGGCGUAAAUGUGAUGCCGGGAGUUCUGCAUCUUCAUUGUCAGUGGGACGGGAGGGUGGUCUGCCCGGGGCUUCAAGCUCCUGUCCAGGAACCGGACCCAUGUCGUACGCCAGUGCAGCCACACGGCCAGCUUCGAGGUGCUCAUGGACGUCUCCAGGUGUGAGAUGGGCAUCUUCUUGUGGCCACUAUGCCCGCUGAGCCUACCCCCAAACCUGCCCCUCCUCAAACUAAAUCUUCCAUUCUAAGCGCUUUGAAC
rnacentral:lncRNA from 1 species